UACGGAGGAUGCGAGCGUUAUCCGGAAUCACUGGGUUUAAAGGGUGCGUAGGCGGUUAAAUAAGUCAGAAGUGAAAGCUCAUCGCUUAACGAUGGAAUUGCUUUUGAUACUGUUUAACUUGAAUUAGGUUGAGGUUAGCGGAAUGAGUCAUGUAGCGGUGAAAUGCAUAGAUAUGACUUAGAACACCAAUUGCGAAGGCA
rnacentral:rRNA from 1 species